ACCUGGUCUUGACAUCCCGGAGACCCUUAGGAACUAGGGGUGCUUCCAUCUGGAAGAAUCUGGAGACAGGUGCUGCAUGGCUGUCGUCAGCUCGUGUCGUGAGAUGUUGGGUUAAGUCCCGCAACGAGCGCAACCCUUGCCUUUAGUUGCCAGCAGUUCGGCUGGGCACUCUAAAGGGACUGCCGGUGUUAAACCGGAGGAAGGUGGGGAUGACGUCAAGUCCUCAUGGCCUUUAUGACCAGGGCUACACACGUACUACAAUGGCCGAUACAAAGGGCAGCGACACUGCGAGGUGAAGCCAAUCCCGUAAAAUCGGUCUCAGUCCGGAUUGGAGUCUGCAACUCGACUCCAUGAAGUUGGAAUCGCUAGUAAUCGUGGAUCAGCAUGCCACGGUGAAUACGUUCCCGGGCCUU
rnacentral:rRNA from 1 species